rnacentral:lncRNA from 1 species
GGUCGAGCGGCAGGAAGUGCGCUCUCCCACCGCGUCCUGAGCACAGUGACCCCCUCCCGUCCGACGCGCGGGGGAGAAUUGGGAUGGCGGGAGAGAGAGGGGUACCCUGGGGAGGAGGCGCCUCGCGGGCACGUUGCGCUGGAGCGAGCCCUCGCUCAGGGAUGUUCAGAGGCCGAGGCCCAGCUGGAUAGGGCUGGCAUCGUCAGUGGCCGCUUGAGCUCCUGGAACAGAAAGAGGCUGGCAGGUACCUUCCGGACACCUCCUGUAGGCCACACACUUCACCACGUACCGAGCUGUGCUGGUGAACAGAACUGAAGAAGUGCCGGCCUUUGGGAGAUUCCUGUGUGAGAUGCAUGGCGUGCUGGCCCGUAACAUGUGCAGGGGAAGAGAGAGUUGGGGGCGGGGGGCUUUGGAGCAGGUGACCUAGGAAGGUCUUGUGAGCAGGUGAAGAAAAGAAAGUGUUAGUUGCUCAGUUGUGUCUGACUCUUUGUGACCUCAUGGAUUGUAGCCUGCCAGGCUCCAUGGGAUUCUCCAGGCAAGAAUACUGGAGUGGGUUGCCAUU